rnacentral:lncRNA from 1 species
UCUUGGCAUCAUCUAAUAUUUUCUCACUUUCUGGCAGAAUUUUUUACUAAAACAGCAGAAUGAAAAGGGAGCAGAGAAAAUCUCCCAGGAAUUUUGAUCUUACAGAUGCCUACUUACAUAUGACCUGAGAGGGGGAAAAAAAGCAUCCACCAUAGCAGCGACAGUUAUGGUGUGAGGCAGCCAAAGCCCAAGAAAUUCCAUCUUUCCUUCUUCCCUCGAGAAUCCUGAGUCCAAAUAAAACAUCUUGCUUCAAGAAGUUACCUGUGGUGGCAACUGCUGCAGAAACCCCCAGCAAGCCAGUAGCAAGACCUGGAGCACUGCUUUGUCUAAGGCAUCUUGUUUGAAUAUUUGAAGAAAUGCUGCCGGGGCCAGACCAGAUUGGCCAGCUUUUUGAAGGCAUCACUUCUGGGGAGAUUUGCACAGGGUCCCACGCCAGCUCUUAAGUCCAGAGGCAGAAGAGUGACGAAGGAUGAAUGAUUUGCAAAGACCUGCACAGGUCAGAGCUCUUGUCAAAACUUGAAUUCACAGAGGCUCAG